rnacentral:tRNA from 1 species
GGCGAGGGCAUCCGGCUGGUAACCCAGAGGGUGCGGGCUCAAAUCCC